GACGAACGCUGGCGGCGUGCCUAAUACAUGCAAGUCGUGCGGACCUUGUUGAAAGCUUGCUUUUAAAAGGUUAGCGGCGGACGGGUGAGUAACACGUGGGCAACCUGCCUGUAAGACUGGGAUAACGCCGGGAAACCGGGGCUAAUACCAGAUCGUUUUUUCCUCCGCAUGGAGGAAAAAGGAAAGGCGGCUUCGGCUGCCACUUACAGAUGGGCCCGCGGCGCAUUAGCUAGUUGGCGGGGUAAUGGCCCACCAAGGCAACGAUGCGUAGCCGACCUGAGAGGGUGCUCGGCCACAUUGGGACUGAGACACGGCCCAAACUCCUACGGGAGGCAGCAGUAGGGAAUCUUCCGCAAUGGACGAAAGUCUGACGGAGCAACGCCGCGUGAGUGAAGAAGGCCUUCGGGUCGUAAAACUCUGUUGCCGGGGAAGAACAAGUGCCGUUCGAACAGGGCGGCGCCUUGACGGUACCCGGCCAGAAAGCCACGGCUAACUACGUG
rnacentral:rRNA from 1 species